AAAGUCGUAACAAGGUCUCCGUUGGUGAACCAGCGGAGGGAUCAUUAAAGAGUUGCAAAACUCCCACAAACCAUCGCGAACGUUACCCGUAACCGUUGCCUCGGCGGCGUCGGCCCCCCCGGGGGUUGGCCGCCGGCGGUACCCACAACUCUGUUUUUGCAGGCCUCUCUGAGUAACUUAUCAAAUAAGUCAAAACUUUUAACAACGGAUCUCUUGGUUCUG
rnacentral:misc_RNA from 1 species